AUUUAAUGCAUUUUAUAAUAAGGCUGUAACCUAACAAAUUGUGGAUACUUUCCAAAUGCACUGUAUGUGUAUGUCAUUGGAGUCCACACUGGCACAUAUUCACACACAUACACACACACACACUCUUAGUAUGGGGGGGGGUAAGCUUGCCAUGUCUAUGCAGAGUGUUUGUGUGUUUUAUCACAAGCCGAAGGAGUUUCCACACACACUCACACACACUUGCUCUUGUUGACGGAGGAAAUUCAUGGCGUGUAGUUUUUGUGCAGAAGAAUCCUUAAAAAGAGGAAGAGAGUCGUCAAACACUUAUCUGUUCACUCGGCCACUCAAUCUACUUAGUGUGCAGCAAUAGUUCUGUGUAUGUUUCCGAAUACGUCUUUCACAUUAUUUUGCAUGUUGAAGAUUAUUAAUCAUAUGCUAGAACCCUAAGAAAGGCACAUGUAUAUUCUUAUUAUUACACUGAUAUACUUGACCAUGCCAACUGAAUAGCCUUACUCUUCCUGUACAUACAGAACAUAGAGGGAAAGGGAAUACCUAGUCAGUUGCACAACUGAAUGCAUUCAACCAAAAUGUGUCUUCCGCAUUUGACCCAACCCCUCUGAAUCAGAGAGGUGCGGGCUGACUUCAUCAACAUCAUUGACCUUUCAGUUACUGAUCUAACACUCUUAAUCACUAGGCUUCCUGUUGCCCCCUAGAUAGGCCUAAUGCAAUAGUCUUCCUGUGACAAUUAGCUAGAUAGAUUUAGAUAUACUAGAUUUGCCAUUUUGGUCAAAGACAGAGAGGGAUGCAUGUAUGACUAUGCAUUUCAAGAUUCCCGUGUGUUUUAAAUCUACAGUACUUUCAAACAACUUUUUAUAAUUUAUAUUGCCAACUGGCAGGUGUCCCAAAUCUAGAACAUGAACCCUUCCCUGCUGCUCCCCUCUUUCUUUUGAUGGUGAACUCUUGAACUCUAGAACCCUAGAACCAAGACUCUCCUCUCCCAGCCCUGAAUCAGUCAAGUAUCAAAUUAAUUAGAUGGAAGAAAUUAAGCUACCAGACCUUACAAGCUACUUGUAACCAACAAUCUUUCAUAUAAUUAGUUUUGACCCAAUCAAAGCCUUUUGAAAGUAGAAGGCUCUCAUUGGCUAACAUGACUCAUCCUGCCCUUUGGUCUUGGUCAAUGAGAGUCAGAUUCAGAGAUGUAUUUCCAUAUCACCUAUACAUGAUUGCAUCCUCUUCUCAUAUUAUGUCAAUACUCAACCAUAUUUUAUGUGUUUUGUUAUUAUUCUUCCCAAAUGCUCAUUCAUAAAUACAGUAUAAGCAGGACUCAUUGUGGAAUAUGACAGAGUUUGGAGACCAAUUUGGCUGGAGAGUUCUCUGGUUGUAGUCCCUAGUUUAUGAUGAGUAAACAGACCAAAACGAUUCCCCUCACCUCCCAGUCCCCAUACUGUGUAACUCAUUCAAUAAAAUAAUUUCUAUAAAAUAUCAUGCAUUUUCAUAACUGUGUCCUAGAUAUAUGAUAUGAUAUCAUAUUGGUGGCAGCGUUGGGAUACAGGCUACAGUUAGUCUGGGUACCAGUCUGUUUAGCUAACAUUCCACUCUGUAUUCCGUGUCAUAUGCCAAAGUUUAGCAGAAAGUUUAGCUAAACAGACUUCUAUGUGCACGGGUAAGCCUCGAGCAAGGAGCGAACAACCACUGUAGACACAGAUCUCAGUUAUUUAACGUUAGUUAUUACAGACAGAUCUGGCAUUUCUCCAUCUGGAAAUUACUAUUUACAACACAACUGCAAUUAUUUUAUUUUAUAUUUGUCCAAGAUAGCUAGCUGCAAAGCUAGCAAGCGAGUUAAUUUAAGAUGCCUCUAGAUCCAGUUCGCCAGCAGAGCAGCACUCGCCAAAAAAGACAGUAAACCAAAAGCUGCCACCAUUGCAGUGGGUGCCGGAUAGACAAUGGUGGUCCUUCAUUCUCGAAUGUGAAGCCGACUGACCCUAGCAGGAAGGACCAGAGAAAAGUGUUUGCUUAAGGUAAUUGGGCCUCUAUUUUAGGAGAGGAAUGACAUGCAUGACCUUCUGUCUCUCCUCUCUACUGAGACCGAUCUGGCCGCAGCAGCGCAGGCCCAGCUCUAACAGUGGUCUUCCCAACCGGCUGUCUUGUUCUGCUCCCCUUUGGCAACAGCUACCGCCACAACAAAAGAGGAUUGCUCUGAAGAGUACCUGCUGGAUACAGAGCACACCUCUGCCAGCCACACCACCACUGCCCUUGACAGCUUCUCCACUGGGCCCAUCAAGAGAUGAGGUCGCGUCUUCAUCUUGUACCACGACCGAUGGACAGAGCCCAUUAGAGCUGCCAGUGAUGGGCUACUGGCCAAUCACCACGGGGAAGAAGAUAUCCUGAAGCGGGUGAAUCUGCUCUGCUCUUAACACCACCCCAGAGAAGCUCCUAGAGACACACAGCUGUGGCAUUAUGUUACUGUAGAGAGUGAAACAGUCAGUGUCCCAGUCAUGUCCUCAGUCAUGUCCCCUGCCUCCUGCACUUACCCAGCAGAAGGCCUCACCUACUCAACGUUUACAUUUGAGGAUUUAGCUUCCGCUGCCUCCUUUCAAUGGGAACUGGAGGCCUCGAAGCAGAGGGGGCAGUGAGGAAGGAGCGAACAGAGGAAAGAGAUGAGCAUCCCUCCGGCCGUCUGUACAGGUUCUGCCAGCAGCCGCUGAAACAAAUCUCCAACAGCCCAUAUCAGCUUUUCUUGAGUGGUAGGAAAAUAUCUACUGCCUAGUGUUUCCCCUGUACAUUGUACAGGGCAUUGGAGGGAGCUCCAACAGUCUGCCUUUUAUGAGACUGAAAAGAAGAGAUGGAUGGUGGAGAAGGGUAGUGACUCUAUACACACGUACACACAGAAAUAAAUAGGAGUUGCAAAUCUAUUGUCAUGGAAAUUACCACCAGGGAUUCAAAGUCAAACUUAAAUGAAUAAUGAUUUAUUUUCAGUUAACUGGAGAGGUUUCAACAAACUUAAUGCACCAUAGUACACGUCGGUCAGGAGCUCUGUCUCUCAAUUGUUCGCGGAUGAUGUGUCUCCUUUUGGGCAGCUCACAGUAAGGGUCUGGGCGGGUCCUCGUUGUCUUUUGGUCUGAUGGAAAUUUCCUUCAUGCUUCAUGAAAUGUGCCACCAGUUUUCCUCGCAGACCCUCACUGGAAAGCUCCGCAGGCAGAAUCAAUCAUCCGGUUCUUGAUGCCAAAUUGUCUUGGAAAUUACCACCAGGGACUCAAAGUCAAACUUAAACGAAUCAUUAUUUAUUGUCAGUUAACUGGAGAAGUUCCAACAAACUUAAUGCACCAUAGUACACGUUGGUCGGGAGCUCUCCGGGGCAGUCCCGUUAGUUCUCUUAUAUACUGCUUACACAGACAAGUUAUAUUUGCAUGAUUUACAUUAUACAUUAUUCCUGAUUAAUUCAUUUGGUUAUUGCUUAAACUAUCAAAGGAGGUUCUAUCAAAAUACGUCAUUAUAAGUAAGCGAAAUGAACACAUAAAACCAGACACUUCAUCCUUUCAAAUCCUUCAUUCUGGGUUGUGCAAUCCAACUUGUAAAACCAUUGCAGUAGAAUGUUUUAUGCUUCACUACAGGACACUAUUUCCAUUGGUGGAAGUGGUUUGGACUCUCGUUUGAUUUGUAUCUAUUUCACUGUCCAUUAUUUUACAUUUAAUCAGUAAGGCCAGAGGAGGUGUGGUAUAUGGCCAAUAUACCACGGUUAAGGGCUGUUCUUA